rnacentral:rRNA from 1 species
CACGUAGGGUGCGAGCGUUGUCCGGAAUUAUUGGGCGUAAAGAGCUCGUAGGCGGUGUGUCGCGUCGGCCGUGAAAACCUGCAGCUUAACUGUGGGCUUGCGGUCGAUACGGGCAUCACUGGAGUUCGGCAGGGGGAGACUGGAAUUCCUGGUGUAGCGGUGAAAUGCGCAGAUAUCAGGAGGAGCACCGGUGGCGAAGGCGGGUCUCUGGGCCGAUACUGACGCUGAUGCGCGAAAGCGUGGGUAGCAAACAGG